rnacentral:rRNA from 1 species
UACGUAGGGGGCGAGCGUUGUCCGGAUUUAUUGGGCGUAAAGAGCGUGUAGGCGGUUCGGUAAGUCUGUCGUGAAAUCCUGAGGCUUAACCCUGAGCUUGCGGUCGAUACGGGCAUGACUGGAGUUCGGCAGGGGAGACUGGAAUUCCUGGUGUAGCGGUGAAAUGCGUAGAUAUCAGGAGGAAUACCGGUGGCGAAAGCGACUCUCUGGACGGCAACUGACGCUGAGGCACGAAAGCGUGGGGAGCAAACAGG